rnacentral:rRNA from 1 species
AUUGAACGCUGGCGGAAUGCUUUACACAUGCAAGUCGAACGGUAGAGGGGGCAACCCCUCGAGAGUGGCGAACGGGUGAGUAAUAUAUCGGAACGUGCCCAGUCGUGGGGGAUAACGUAGCGAAAGUUACGCUAAUACCGCAUACGAUCUAAGGAUGAAAGCGGGGGAUCGCAAGAACUCGCGCGAUUGGCGCGGCCGAUAUGAGAUUAGGUAGUUGGGGGGGUAAAGGCUCACCAAGCCAACGAUCUGUAGUUGGUCUGAGAGGACGACCAGCCACACUGGAACUGAGACACGGUCCAGACUCCUACGGGAGGCAGCAGUGGGGAAUUUUGGACAAUGGACGCAAGUCUGAUCCAGCCAUUCCGCGUGCAGGAUGAAGGCCCUCGGGUUGUAAACUGCUUUUGUACGGAACGAAAAGGUCUCUCUUAAUACGGGGGACUCAUGACGGUACCGUAAGAAUAAGCACCGGCUAACUACGUGCCAGCAGCCGCAGUAA